rnacentral:sRNA from 1 species
AGUUAAUAGUGAAGCACUUCAGAACACAAGUGACAUUUUUCUCUCCAGAUCUCAUAGCAGAAUAACACUUGGUGUACAGUUGUUGCUACUACUGUACAUUGCGUUUGUAAAGCUAUGCAUCUAAUACAAAUAAAUUAAGUGUCAGAAAGUACCACUGUUUGAAAUCUUGUUAAAAUAUAACUUUUCCUAGAAACCAUUAGAUUUGCAUACUUUAAAGACAAAAUUGCUUGUUUUCAAUUAUUUUCACUGUCUGUCAGAUAUAAUUAAAUGAGAACAUACUGUCUUAAAGCUGCUAGAAUAUUGGGACAAAAUUAUCACAACUUGGCAGAUUUUAAAAUGUUUUUGUAUUACUUAUAUGAACGGAAAAUGUAUACUUGUUAAUGGUUUAUGAUGUGGUGUUUUAUAAUAUUCUUUUUAUUUGCUCAGUAGCCUAUGUUUAAAAAAUGUCCUUUACAAUUAUGGCAUGGAAAGAUAAGUUUAUGCUUUUAUAAUUUCAUGGGAAAUCCAUAUUUGGUUCUAAUUGUUUAUAAUGUGAGUUUUGGUAAUAGUAUACUAAGAAUAUUUGUUUAGAAAACAAAUUAUUAUAACAGUAAGAUGAUUACUUGUAGUUUUGUCUGUGGAUAAAGACUGAAGGGAAAUAAAAAAAGACAAGAGAAUUUUCAAGAAGAAAAAAUAAAAUAUUCUGUGUCGAAACUGAUGUACCUUCUUCCCUAAAAUCAAGGAUGUCAUUGGAUUCUGAUAAGUUAAAGUCAACAUAACCUCUUUUCUAUGUAUCACCAUUGUCAGGUCCAUUGCUUGUGUUGUCACUCCUGAUGGUUUUUAGUAAAUACUAUUUAUACAGAGAAGAAAGACCAUGGUAGAAACAUGUGACUGCCUGAACACUGAUGUGUUUUCAAUGGUCAUGUUUUUGUAGCUCUCUGCCACUGACUUUUCACCUCUUUGAGACAAUUUACAAGCAAUUGAAUACCCUCCACUCCUAGUUUUUCCCAAAAUAUAUCCAGACAUCAAGCCCUAUAUAGUAUUGACUUUCUAAUUGCAGUUGAAGGAAGCCAAGAUUGGAGAUCCUUAUCCCAGGUGUGGAUCUGAGAUUUGAGUCCAACAUGGAUAAUUUCAUACACACACACACACACACACACACACACACACACACACCGCGAUUUAUUUUAAGCGACUUAAUUGAUAAUUGUAAUUUUCCCAUUAGAGAUAGGAAACAAAAUCCUUGAUAUAAACUCAAUUGCUCUAUUGUCACCUUCAAAGAUUCAUUUAACUCCGUUUUGAAAAAUAUAUCAAAUACGCAUUAAACCAAGAGAAAAUCAAGUAAUAAAAGUAAUAGGCAUAUUUUAUUCACUAAAGAUAAAGACACUUUGAGAUUUUGAAUGAAUUUCUAUGCUCAACAUGUCAGGAUAACACACAGCCCGUUAAAGACUUUGCUUAUUGUAAGUUAGGAGUUAACAUUUUGAAAUAGAAAAUGUGAAUCCAUGUUUGUUUUCUUAGAACAUCACGGUUUUAGGAACAAUUUUUAUGCAGAGUAAUUUUUAAAAAAUGGUAACAAGUUCAAAAAAGCAUAGUUUUAAUUACAUUCUCUCAUGAAAAUACACAGAAGACAACACUAGGAAAGAAAGCCUUUAAAAAGAGGCAAUGUAUCAAGGGAAAUGGCAGUUUGGUAAAAAUGGAACUUGAAGAGCAGAUUUAAGGGAAAGCAAUGGAAAUUAUUUAAGAUGCAUGGGCAAGCAUCCGGAUUUUUUGUGAGACCCUGUAAGAGGACAAACUAAGAAUGAAGAUGUAACACAUUGUUUCAAAUAGAAACAAAAUUAUAUCAAACCAAAACUCUGUGUUGCUUCAUACCCAUGGUACUGUAAAUGUGCUGUAGUAAACUGAGUAGAUAGAUUUUAAGUUUUUGUUUGUUCUUUGUGAAUUUUACACCAUGUACCCCAUUCCUACUCUUCACCCCUCCCCUUUACCUGCUCUUCACCCUUGCAACUUAAGCACAACAGAGGAAAGAAAAAGAAUGUGUUAGGUGUAGUGUACUGUAAUGUAUCCCACAGAAUACCCUUUCUAUCACACUUCUUUGCUUGUAAAUGUUCCUUGCAAUGAUUUAUUGGUCUGGUAUGAGGCCUCUGCCUUCUGCUACUCUAACAGUACUGGAACUUCAAUGGGAUUCACCUGAGAUGGGAUUCUCCCAUGUUAUGGUGAGCCUGUAGUUUUGGACCUGUAGGACUGGGCCCUUCAAAACUGGGUAGGCCAAUUGAAAGCCUUGGAUCUUCAUCUGAGAAGUAUCAGAUGUAGUCAGCCCACAUGAUACCUCACAUCUUUUGGAAUGCUCAACAUCAACCCCUAUAACCAGGGUCAACUCUACCCAGCUCUUCCACAUGCAGUAGUGAGGGACAAAGGAAGAGGUACGGACAUCUCUUCCUUUUUCCACGCCUUAGUCCUGCAGACAAGAGGCAGGGCCAGUUCUCCUGUGCUUAUGCUUUAGGGAUCAGCGUUCCCCACAUCUAGCAUUAGCUCAUGCUGCCCAUGCACGUUGCAGGGUAUGCUCUCUUGAGUACUGAAGCAGGGGAGGGGUACAGCUGGCUCUAUUGUUCUGAUUAGAUUGGGCUAGCUCUCACGCCCACUGUAGGUGGCAAGGGGUGGCAGAGCAUCUUUCCCUCGCCCAUGUCAUUGUGUAGCAGACAAGUGACAGGACUGCUUCCAUGCUCACAACCUAUAGGUCAGAUUACCUGUGUCCCAGUCAGCGAAGUCAGCUCUAUGAUGCUGCAAAGGCAAGGUGAAGGGCUGCUCUCCUGAGUGGUGCAGCUGGUGAAGGCAGUGACAGUUCUCCUGCUCUUAUGACCUCACAGUCAGGUCUUCCAUCUGCCAUAGGUGAUGAAGGGAAGACCCCUGAUGUUGCAGGGCCCCACACCCAGGCCAGGACUGCACCAUGAUCCCAGGAGGCAUCACAUCAUGGCUCAUCAGGCCACCAGUAUUACACUACCUUGCUCUUUAGAGUUCUCUGCUGGAUGUCUCAAAUCCAAUCAGCGUGUGACUGGUUGCACUUACACACUCCUGCCACUAUUGCAAAGGUAGACAUUGCAAUCACUACAGAUGAGAAGAUGGGACCACAGGUAUACGAUUCAGGCACCUGAGAAAUGAUGAAUGGAUUGACUUCCAGACUCUUAAAAAGGAUAUUCAAUAAUUAAAAUUAAGAAGGACACCCAGCGUCAAAGUGCCACUGUCGGAGAAACUUUCAAUUAUCUCUAAUGUGCACAGACAGCUUUUCAAUGGUCAUGGUUGCUAUAGCAGGAAUCACGAUGGAUGAUAUCCGUAGCAGCUGUAACCUGAAGGAGAAGUAGGCAUAUGAAUGACCUGAGCGUGUUGGCCCUCCUCAUCAUCAUCAUCCUUCCCCUUCUUCUUCUUUUUAAUUGUUUGACAAAGCUGGCUUCAAACUCAUUGUCUACCUGAAAACAAUUUUGAACGUUGAACCUACCUGCUUUCUGCUUUUGUGUAUUAGGAAUCUAGAUUUGCCAUACUAUCCCCAGACUGUGGGCUCUUAGGCACCAAACUUGGGCUUUCAUGUGUAGGAGACAAACACUCUCUCAACCAGCAGAAUUUUAGUCAUAAACAUAUACAUAUACCCUGUUCAGUAUGUAGUUUCCUUUUCAUUGUAAUUUCUUUGGUCAUAUUGAUUAUUUUAAUCUGUCCUUUAAAUGCUUUAAAUGAUCAGGCAGGAUACACCAGCUGAUAUGAGUCCCCCAGCACAUAUAUAGCAGAGGAUCUGGGUUGAGUCAGAGAAAAAUGAAUCUAACCCUGAAGAGAUUGGAGGCCCCAGGGGAUUUAGAUAUCUGGUGAGGUGUGUGGGUUGGGGACAUCCUAGUGGAGAUGGGGGGACU